rnacentral:tRNA from 1 species
GCCGGAAUGAUGGAAUGGCAGACAUAGGCGCCUCAAAAGCGCCCGCUCGAGAGGGCGUGCGGGUUCGAAUCCCGCUUCCGGCACCA